CCUACGGGUGGCAGCAGUGGGGAAUAUUGGACAAUGGGCGAAAGCCUGAUCCAGCCAUGCCGCGUGUGUGAAGAAGGCCUUCGGGUUGUAAAGCACUUUCAGUGGGGAAGAAAGCCUUGGGGCUAAUACCCUCGAGGAAGGACAUCACCCACAGAAGAAGCACCGGCUAACUCCGUGCCAGCAGCCGCGGUAAUACGGAGGGUGCGAGCGUUAAUCGGAAUUACUGGGCGUAAAGCGCGCGUAGGCGGUCUGAUAAGCCGGUUGUGAAAGCCCCGGGCUCAACCUGGGAACGGCAUCGGGACUGUCGGGCUGAGGUGCAGGAGAGGAAGGUAAAAUUCCCGGUGUAGCGGGGAAAUGCGUAGAGAUCGGGGGGAAUACCAGUGGCGAAGGCGGCCUUCGGGACUGACACGGACGCUGAGGUGCGAAAGCUUGGGUAGCAAACAGGAUUAGAAACCCGAGAGUC
rnacentral:rRNA from 1 species